rnacentral:rRNA from 1 species
GAACGCGAAGAACCUUACCUGGGCUUGACAUGUAAUGAACAACAUGUGAAAGCAUGCGACUCUUCGGAGGCGUUACACAGGUGCUGCAUGGCCGUCGUCAGCUCGUGUCGUGAGAUGUUUGGUUAAGUCCAGCAACGAGCGCAACCCCUGUUGCCAGUUACCAGCACGUGAAGGUGGGGACUCUGGCGAGACUGCCCAGAUCAACUGGGAGGAAGGUGGGGACGACGUCAGGUCAGUAUGGCCCUUAUGCCCAGGGCUGCACACGUACUACAAUGCCCAGUACAGAGGGGGCCGAAGCCGCGAGGCGGAGGAAAUCCUAAAAACUGGGCCCAGUUCGGACUGUAGGCUGCAACCCGCCUACACGAAGCCGGAAUCGCUAGUAAUGGCGCAUCAGCUACGGCGCCGUGAAUACGUUCCCGGGUCUUGUACACACCGA